rnacentral:rRNA from 1 species
AUGGCAAACCUCGCCGUUGCCAUCUUGCUUGCAUCGCUCGGAGCCGUGGCUACUGCUCAAAAAACCUCCGCGCCGGCGGCAAUGCCAGCCUACCAAGGCUCCUACCCAAGCUACGCUAGUCCGCCCGUAGCCGAAAUGCCAGCCUAUCAAGGUUCCUAUCCAAGCCACAUUAGCUCCCCAGCUGCUAGCCCGAGCUACACCUUCCCGGCACCAAGCCCGCCAAGCAUGGCCGCACCUACUGCUAGUCCACCGAGCCCGACCCCUUCUCCGUCUGCGGGACGACGGAGGCUGCGUGUCGGCUUCUACAGGCGCUCGUGCCCACGGGCGGAGAACAUCGUCAGGGAGGCCGUGAGGAACGCCACGUCCAAGAACCCUGGCCUGGGCGCUGGGAUAAUUCGGAUGCACUUCCACGACUGCUUCGUCCAGGGUUGCGACGCUUCCGUCCUGCUCGACCCGACAGCGGCCAACCCGCAGCCGGAGAAGCUCAGCCCACCCAACUUCCCAAGCCUGCGUGGCUUCGAAGUGAUCGACGCUGCCAAAGAGGCGCUCGAGAAGGUUUGCCCCGGGAGGGUCUCCUGCGCCGACAUUAUCGCCUUUGCCGCCCGAGACGCUUCCUUCUUCCUCAGCCGUGCAAGGAUCAACUUUAGGAUGCCGGCAGGGCGCCUGGACGGGCGCGUGUCCCUCUCCAGUGAGGCGCUCGAUUUCCUUCCGCCACCGUUCUUCAACCUCUCGCAGCUCGUCGACAAUUUCAGGGCCAAGAACCUCGACGAGGAUGACCUCGUGGUGCUCUCCGGCGCGCACACCAUCGGCGUGUCCCACUGCUCGUCCUUCACCGACCGCCUCCCGCCGAACCCCUCGGACAUGAACCCGGCAUUCGCCACCCUGCUGCAGAGCAAGUGUCCGGUGAGUCCCAACUUCACGAACGACCCAACAGUGGUGCAGGACAUUGUGACGCCUAACCGGUUGGACACCCGGUACUACACCAAUGUGCUCAAGCGCAACGUGCUCUUCACCUCCGACGCGGCACUCUUGUCGUCCCGGCGGACAGCCAGGAAGGUGGCGGAGAACGCACUUAUCCCAAGGAGGUGGGAGAGCAAGUUCGCCAGGGCGAUGGUGAAGAUGGCGGCCAUCGAGCUCAAGACCGCUGCAAAUGGGGAGAUCAGGAAGAUGUGCAGGGUCGUCAACAACUAG